ensembl:lncRNA
GUGAGGUCGUUUGUGGAUAAGAUCGGUAUUAGGUGAGGUCGUCCGUGCGUUUCCUCCCGUGGCGGUGCCGUGUCACCACCCGGCCGCGCUCCGGGCGGGCUGAAAGCACGGCGGUGGUUCGCCUCAGGGCGCGGUGGCCCCGCGGCCGUCCCACCACAGUACGGGGCUGCGGGCACACGCGGUCAGCGACGGCAGCGGCGCUCACUGCGUGUCAGAGCUCCCCAGGAGGUCGUUGUUUUUCCUUUCGGAGCCCUGAAAGAUACGGGGAGAGAAACCUGCGAGGAGAGUUUGCAGGAGUGCUGUGAGUGGUGCACGGAACGCCGCGCAGGAGAACGCUUUCCUCCUUCCCAAACGUGCCUUGGGAAAAGUAAUUUCUCAAGUAGUUGGUAAUUGCUGCCAGGUACUUAGUGAAAAUUUAUCUUCUCUUGGGGUUGCGAUUAAGAAAAGCCUUCUGAAAUUCCAGGGACGGAUGGUGAAUCUCUGGUGGAUUAAAAGAGCUGCCUGAGGCAGGGUCACGUUUCCAGGAGGGGAAGGAAAGGUGCUCUGGGUUUCGGUGUGGAUUCGGAGCUGGGGAGGUGAAGCAUCGCGAAAUUUGCUGUGCCUCAGCGGGGCACGGGGUGGAGAUAGCGGUUCAACUCCAGAUCCGUCAGAGCAGAGGGUUCCCACGCACGACGCAGCCUCUGUGAAGCGCAGAGCGCGGCGGCAGUUCCUAAGCUCCCGGGCUUUGUGAUGCUUUCAUAUCCCCGAGCGUGAGAUCCUCGCCUGUCAGCGUUUGUCAGCCGACUGCUGCCUCGCACUCGGCUGCACUGCAGUUUCUCGACCGUUUGAAAACUGUACUGCUCUUAAAUGCUUGGCGUUGUAGAUUCUUUCUCACUGAAUCUUACUAAACUAGAACGGGUUGCAGCGAGCUUGCAUUAAGAAUCCCCGCAGGGAUCCACGUGUAGGGAGGAGACUUGUUGCAGCCGGGGGCAUAGCCUGCGUCCGGGAAUGUUUACAGCAUUCCCUGUGGGUGUCUGGGGAUGCACUGAGGUGCUUAGAAAGCGUGAGAGGAACUGCAGGAGAAGGAGCCAUAGGUCUCUGCAGUAGAGUGCAAAGAUAAUCAGCAUUUGAGUGCGGUGGCUAAUCUAGAAUUGCUAAUAAAAUUGAUAGGGAAUCAUAAAAUAAUUUAGAUUGGAAGGAACCUCUGGACUUGAAAGCGGGACUGGCCUCCAUUGCAUUGGGUUGCUCAGGGACAACGUCUCAAGCCUUUCCCGGACUGUUUGCUCAGCAAACCUUGUAGUGACGUAGCUCUUCCCAAAUAACCUCACUAAUUCCUUGCUUUGUCAGCCCGAUACGAGGGAUUCCACCCCCGUUCCUGCACUCAGCAUGAGGAUCUUAAUCAAACCGCUGUGGCUGAUUGGAGUGGUCCAUAGUGUCUCUGUGACACCAGAAUUUAGGUUGUAUGGGUGAAGUUGGUUCUUUCUACUGAAUGUCUUCACAAACACAGGUCUAACCGGGCAGUGUUAGCUUUCUCUUAGCACUUAACACACCCAAAAAAUUAAAACCUCUUAUCUUCACUGCAGAAGUUUUUAUUUUCAGACUCGUUUGUUGCAAGUGAAGUUUUAUUUUAAUGUUUGGACUAAAUAUUUGAAAAAAUCGUCCUGACAUGCUGUGGCAAGAAUGUGUUUAUAGUAACAUUAAUUUGCUGUUUCUUCAUAAGCAGUUUUUCACUUCCCCUGUCAAACCCACGCACCACUGAGGUUUAUAGCUGGAAAUAAUCACCAAACGUGCAGUUCGUGGUCAUUUUUAACGUGCAUUUUCCCCGCUAUAGUCUCUUGAGAGUCAGUAGCAUUUACUACCAAAGACCAUGUAUUCAGACAUUGGAACUGGAACAGGUUGCCCAAGGAGGCUGUGGAUGCCCCAUCCCUGGAGGCAUUCAAGGCCAGGCUGGAUGUGGCUCUGGGCAGCCUGGUCUGGUGGUUGGCGACGCUGCACAUAGCAGGGAGGUUGAAA